rnacentral:lncRNA from 1 species
GCGGCAGCCUCAUAUUGCUUCUUCUCUUUCUUUCUUUCUUUGACUUUUUUUUUUUUUUUUUUUUUUUAAUGUAAUGAGAGGGAAAUGUGCCGGGUGUUUGGAAAUAGAAUUCUUCUUUUUCAGCUGCAAGUUUCCGAGCACAUACCAGGCUGCUCCGUGUCAAGACGAGCCGGGCACUUUGCGGGGACACCAGGAAUGCUAAGGACACCCCAGCGGGGAGCUCGGGAGGUUAGAGUCAUCCUGCAGCAGAGCCCUUGAAGGACAUCCGGAACCGCACAGCUGCUGCCUCUGCGCCUGUGUUUUGUGAACGGAUGAAGUUUCUUCCGAAAUUUCUCCAGCAUGAAAAAAAAUGACCAACUUCUUAAGGCUCAGGAGGGCAAAUGUUUCCAAUGGUAUUGUACGCUCUGUAUUGUUCAGCUAAGAAUGUGCCUUUCUUACUAUGAUGGUGGUUGUUGAUUGUUGAUUUACCCAGAACUAGAGGACAGGACUGUCUCCCUCUUGGAAAGAUCGAGUGUCUUAUUUAAUUAAUUCAAGAAAUCCUUAUUGAUCAUCUACUCUGGAACAAGCUGAGUGUGAGGCUCACUUUGGGGGGAAAUGAAAGAGAAAAAAAAUUGCUAUUGGGGCAGGCACAGUGGCUUACAUGUAUAAUCCCAGCCCUUUGGGAGGCUUGGGUGGGGAGGAUCACUUGAGGCCGGGAGUUCAAGACCAGCCUGGGCAAUAAAGCAAGACCUCAACUGUUGAUUCCGUGUCGGACGCUGACCAGGUAUGAUAUGUGUGUGAGCUUAUCACGUCCUCC